ensembl:snoRNA
UGGUCAUCACCAAGGCUUUUAGAAUGCAGUUUCUCAUUUGCUGUGGACGUGACCAUAAAGAAAAAUUCCCAUGAGGUUUUUCAUAUGCU